CCUCCCCCCAGUGAACUACCGGUAUCUAAUCCUGAAUCUGCUUUGGCAUCAGUUGCAUUUCCCAUUGGAAACACACCUGGGGGGCACAUGCAGCCCCCAAAAUGAGACAAACCUCUCCGGGCAUCUUCCUUAUGAAGCACAGCUCAGGACAUCCAUAAAUCUUCGUUCCCAGCACGCAUCCAGCGACACAUAUCGGAAGACUAUGUGCACACUCACUCAGCAGAGUUUAUCAGAAAUGAAGGGGAGCGUUGGUGUGUGCAUUUUAAGUAUUUCUUAAGCAAUAUAUACAGCACAAAGCAAUCAUGGCGUCUCUCCUCCUUCUUCUCCAAGAGAGAUAGAGAGAGAAAGUACAACACUACAAUAGAGCGGAAGAAAGAAGACUAUCUUCCGUUCUCACACUUUCCAAGCCUAGAAAGCCAGUGUGGUGUAGUAGUUCAGAGCGGUAGACUCGUAAUCUGGGGAACCGGGUUCGCGUCUCUGCUCCCCCACAUGCAGCUGCUGGGUGGCCUUGGGCUAGUCACACUUCUCUGAAGUCUCUCAGCCUCACUCACUUCACAGAGUGUUUGUUGUGGGGGAGGAAGGGAAAGGAGAAUGUUAGCCGCUUUGAGACUCCUUCGGGUAGUGAUACAGUGGGAUAUCAAAUCCAAACUCUUCUUCUCUUCUAGAAAGUAAACACAGACAUGUGAUGUAACAAUCACACAUCCAGCAACGGAGGAAUGAAAUGCUAACAAAGACGUGUCCAUGGAACAACUCAGGUGGAUUGUGUCCACUGUCUCCAUAACCUGGCACUGUUCCACUUUGGAACAAAGCUGCCUAGUGGCUCAUUCAUGUCAGCACCUCUGGAAGACUAAAAAGGAAGUCUGGGCUGCCUCCAUUUGUUCUCGCUAACCGCCUGAAAGUUCACAGGGUAAGAAGCUCUUGUCACCACGAAUGAGCUAUAAAAUGUAUUUCAAUAUGUAAUUACAAUUGGCAUUUCUGAGGCACAUAAUGCCCCCCCCCCCAGUGGAUGUGGUAAUCAUAGUGAAAAGCGAUUAAAGUGACAUUAGCGGAGUGAGAACUGUAUAGAGAGGUUGGAAACCUGGGUUGUCAUUUUGAGAAAUCUGACUGCCAAAGGACGUUGGCCCUUUUUUAAUUGCCAAGUAUAAAAGAUGGUGUUUGGUUUAUCCCCAAAUUCACCCACAAAACUGGCUUUCAAACAACGCCUCUCCCCCCUUCCAGCCUUCCACCAACUUAAUGUCACAAGUCAAAUAGCUUUUCUACGAAACCUACACCUUCAUCACUGAGCUCUGAAAUGUCAGCUAUAAUUAUAACUUCCUUUAAAAAACAACAACAAGCAAACACAAAUUGCAUUGUUUAUUUAAAAGGACAAGCAUUUCUUAUCUUCUGGACAUCUAAAAUUAGCAAAAUGAAGUUUCCCACUCCCCUUUAGAUAUUAAAUGCGAGCAUGGCCACAUUUAAAAGAAAACAGAAUACGUUUUGCUAAUUCUAAAGGUUCAGGAGGUAAAAAGUGUACCCCUCAACUGUCCUGAUUUGAGCGGAACGUCUUGGGAGCCAUCCUGACUUCUGACUGGAUCCCAGAAUGUCCUGGUUAUUUUUGUCUGGCUCCCUUGUGUGAAUUUGCUGGCUCACGCCAAAGUGCCGAAACAAAAGACGUUCCUUUUUUGGUCUUGCUGGCUCUCACGCGAAUCAGCUGGCUCAUGCUCAAAAGGCAAGCCUUCUCUGUGGUGGCCCCUAAGCUGUGGAACUCUAUCUCUGCAGAGGUGCAUCCAGCACCUUCAUUAUAGAGCUUCUGGUGUAAUGCUGAAUGCAUACCUCUUUGCCUUGGCUUUUGACAUGAGGGUGGUGUGUGUGUGUGUGUAUACACCCACCCACUCCCAUUUUUUGUGAUUGCAAGCUGUUUUAAACUGCUUCUAAUAUUGUGCUUUAAUGCUGUAACCUGCUCUGGAACCUUAGAAGGGAAAUACCACAAAGUGAUUCAUAAAAAGAAGAACACAACAAAGUGAUCUGGAAAAAUACCGGGGUUUUUUUUGCUCUAUAAGACUCACUUUUUCCCUCCUAAAAAGUAAGGGGAAAUGUGUGUGCGUCUUAUGGAGCGAAUGCAGGCUGCGCAGCUAUCCCAGAAGCCAGAACAGCAAGAGGGAUUGCUGCUUUUACUGCGCAGCGAUCCCUCUUGCUGUUCUGGCUUCUGAGAUUCAGAAUAUUUUUUUUCUUGUUUUCCUCCUCCAAAAACUAGGUGCGUCUUGUGGUCUGGUGCGUCUUAUAGAGCGAAAAAUACAUAGCUAUUUAAAACUUUUUUAAAAAUUGAUGAAAAUCAAUGAUGAAAAACUGAUUAAAACAUAUGCCAACAUCCUGUAUUCUUGGGUAGGCUUGGGGUUUUUUUUUGACAAAAUGGUUUUAGCAGGCACCAAAAAGAGUAGAGUGAAGGCUCCUGCCUGAUGUCAAUAGACAGGGAGUUCCAAAGUCUGUGUGCUGCCUCAGUAUAAGAUUGAUUUCUUACAAAUGUAGAACAAGUGUAUUGUGGCACUUGUAGCUGUGCCAGAAAGGUGAUCUCUGAAGUAAACUGGUCCCUGGCAUGCAAACGCCAAUACUGUAUCCCAUUUAGGACGACAUGGCGCCCAUUGGCCUUCCAGGAAUUAUACUGGGGCCCAUGUGCAAUGAAUAGAAAAAUUCCACAUUCAUUUGCUGAGCCUGCUGCUACAAUUAAUUCAUUUUGCACCAUCUCCUGUCCUCAUUACAGUUUUAUUAUAAGAAUUAAUAUAUUUUGCCAUUUGCUAUUCUGGUGAAAUCAGGAGAGGAGCCGUGAGAAUGAAUACAUUUUGUUCCACUUUGUCCUCAUUAUAAUUUUAAGGUGUUCUCGAGAAUGGAUUAAUUUGACGCCACUUCUCACUCUUUAUCAUAAGAAUGAAAGCUAAAAUAGUUAUGAAACUCUGACAGCCUUUUGUCUGGAACUAUUCUGUGCUCAAGAUUUUUUUUAAAAAAAACUGCAUUGAGAAGAGGAGGGGAAGGUUAUAAAUGUUCUGUGAGGGUUUAUAAAUGUAUAGAAAAUGAUUGGAUGCCUCUGAGGGAAAGCCGAAGGAAUAAACAAAUGAAACAGAUGACCACAUGCUUGUGACUGUCUCAAGAUCAUAAUCUGCCAUUCAGGCUGGGUACUCUAAUCACACAGAUAUGAUUUUCAUUAAAUUAUUCCUUCCCCAACAGACAAUAAACAACUACUUACUGAUAGAUGGCUGGAUACUGGACCAUUAAUAUAAAAUGCCAGCUUCCCGCUUUACCAGAAACACUCAGAAUCUCAGUCACUGGAUACAUUUGCAGUAGAAAUGUGGUUCCUCUAUGUUACUGUUUAAAUACAAUAAAACAAAAGAGAGAGAGAGAGAAACAAUUGCAGUGGCAAUUAAGUUUCAUCCUAAAGAUAGAAACAAAAGGGAAGUUCCAUAAAGGGGAUUGGGGAAAUUUAUAUAUUUUACACACACACACACACACACACACACACACACAAACACACUGCAUACAGUCCAAAGUAGACAACCCAAAGUCCAGAAGGAUUAGCAAAUGUGAAAUGCAAAUGUAUUUCCCCUACAAAAGUUCAAACAGCGGAAAUGUUCCCAAGAAGGUAUUACUCGGUGAUAUCCAGCUAAGGCUGGAAACUUAACCACACUUCCCUAGGAGUAAACCCCGCUGAAUUCAAUAACGCUUAUGUCUUUAUAGACAUAUGUUUGCUUGUUCAUUUUCAUUUAUUUAAUUUCUAUACCACCCUUCAUUCGUGGAUCGUGGGGUGGUUUACAAUAUUUUGUGCUUUAUGCACACACAAAAAGCCAUAGUAACAAACAUGGAAUGUAUUCAACUAUGUUCUGCUCAGAGUAAAAGGUAAAGGGACCCCUGACCAUUAGGUCCAGUCAUGGCCGACUCUGGGGUUGUGGCGCUCAUCUCGCUUUAUUGGCCGAGGGAGCCGGCGUACAGUUUCUGGGGCAUGUGGCCAGCAUGACUAAGCCACUUCUGGCGAACCAGAGCAGCGCAUGGAAAUGCCGUUUACCUUCCCACCGGAGCGGUACCUAUUUAUCUACUUGCACUUUGAGGUGCUUUCGAACUGCUAGGUUGGCAGGAGCAGGAGAGACACUGAAAUGAAUGAGCCUAUUAGUCAUGACCAUUAACCUGAAUGGGUCUACUCUAUGUAGGACUAGGAUGGAAUGCUACCCAUUAUUAGGACUGUGCUAUAAGUCAUACUGAGAACAGACCUAUGGAAAUUGAGGACUUAAGUCUAUUUAUUUAUACUCUGAGUGUGGCGCUGUGGGUUAAACCACAGAGCCUAGGGCUUGCCGAUCAGAAGGUCGGCAGUUUCGAAUCCCCGCGACGGGGUGAGCUUCCAUUGUUCUGUCCCUGCUCCUGCCAACCUAGCAGUUCAAAAGCACAAAGUGCAAGUAGAUAAAUAGGUACCGCUCCGGCGGGAAGGUAAACGGCAUUUCUGUGCGCUGCUCUGGUUUGCCAGAAGUGGCUUAGUCAUGCUGGCCACAUGACCCGGAAGCUGUACGCCGGCUCCCUUGGCCAAUAAAGCGAGAUGAGCGCCGCAACCCCAGAGUCAUCCAUGACUGGACCUAACGGUCAGGGGUCUCGUUACCUUUAUGACAACAGAGAUCACCUACAGUUAUUAAUAUUAUAUUCAAUUUAUAUAUCUACCCAUCAAUAAGUGUUUCCUCCGAAGCUUUCAAUAAAUGUUAAAAAACACAAUUUAUACCCAUGAUUAAAGAACAACAACAACAAACAAGUAAAAGCAGCAAAAAGCAAAAAGGAAACAUCUCCAUUGAAGCCACACCUCUGAGGAGUUGGCCUCCUGGAUCAUAGCUGUUUCUCUUAAAAGAGUCAUACACCAGGUAUUGAGUUGAUAGUGAGGACUGUUGCCUUAAUUUUACCAUCCUUCAAUGAUCAUUUUUGGUAUAUUUAAUGAAGCCAUCUCCUUCAUUCUGAUCCAUCCUAAGUGCAAGAGACAGGCAUUCCCUCACCAUGUUACUUAGGCAUAAACACCAAAUAAUAUCUUGCUGUUCCUUUCCUUAAUAUUUCAAGAAAUGUCUGUGACUUGCAGGGGGCAGCAAAAAGGUAUAGAGUAUGUCACUGCACAUCCAUGUCAUAUGCAGAAAGCAAUCAUUUAGUUGUUAUUUAUUAUGAGAAUGAAUUCUUGGAAAAUGCCCUUUGGUCUUCUCGAAAUGACAGCUCGCUGUGAUAAUGCUGGUGGCAGAUUGUUGACCUAUAAUAUUCAGCAUUUAAUAGUGUUUCCUACUCACCACAUCCCUGUGCAGCAGAACUUUCCAGAGGCAAGAUUGUGUGAGGCCUGUUUCAUUGCAAGGAGUGUGUCUUAUUGGAACCGGAAGAUGCAUUGUAUAAUUUCAUGUAGGCAUUUGCAAAUAUACAGACUGAGCAUAUGGGAAGCAAGUACGCAAGCAGACUGUACUCAUGCUCAAGCUGUAUGAAUUCAUCCCUCCAAGAUGCAAAAUCCUGGCAAGCUGCUUCGGCAUCCUUCAACACUCUUAAGGAACAUUUCCAAACACAGGACUGUGUUUUUUUUCUCUCUUCCCCAUGCACAUUAAAGUUGCAAGCAUAAAUAAAUAAAUAACAAGUUGUGUCCAGACUCAGGUAGUUGAACUUAGGUCCCACUGAAAUCAAUGGGACAAAUUAUUAAUGACUUAACUUAAGCCCUAUUGAUUUCUACUGGAACUAAGUUCAAUUAACAGGCUGGAUCUGGCCCAAUGUUUCUUUCAACCCCCCCCCCCGCCCCUGAAGAGGCUGUACAAAUUUCAGCAGCUUGCUACAGUCCCUGACCACCACUUCAUGACUUUAUCCAUAAUCAAGUGUGAGCUGUACAAAAGCUGAAGAGUAUGGAGCCAUUUUGCAUAACCAAAAAGCAUCCUAGACCAGCCCUGUCCACAGGAAUAGCAGCAGUAUCUUUAGAGAAGCACCCAUAGAGCUCAGUGGCUGAAGCCAUGGAGGGUAGGCUGAAUGGGGCACUGCUCCACCCCAUCAGUCUGCCCUCAGUGAGCCCCUGGCUUCUUACUUGCAACCAGCCAGGGGUGGUGGUGGUUCUGCUUAUCAGCUUCUUCCUUGGUGUUGUCCUUGCAGAACUCAGCAGGAAGGAGGAUGAGGACAAAAUCAGAAUUAGUUGGCUGCAUCUGUCAUUACCGUUGGUUUCCCUGCCUUCUGCCCAACCAUUCCCAAUGGACAUAAGCCACCACUGGGCUGAACAUAUGCUUUGUAUGCAGAAGGUUUCAAGUCCACCCCUUCCCAAAUGUCUCAAGUUAAAAUAAUUUUGGGGUCCUGCUUGGGACACCUUCGCCAGCCACUUCUGGCCUCAAUGGACCAUAUUGGGCUGGGUGGGAUGAAUGGCCUGGCAUUGUAUAAGGCAGCUUUUUACAUUCUCAGGAACAUACUCAGAAAACUUUAUGAAAACCUGCUGAGGUGUUAACAAUCCAGUCCGGAAUAUAUCCCCUUAUACUAUACAGCUCAGGACCAGGUUACUUCAGAGACUGACUUAUGCCUUAGAUGCUGCGGUCUAUGGGAGAGAGCAUGGUGCUGAUAACUCCAAGGCUGCAGGUUCAAUCACCAUAUGAGACAACUGCAUAUUCCUGCAUCGUAGGGAGUUGAACCACAAUGACCCCCAGGGUCCCUUCCAAUUACAUGGUUCUAGAAUUCUUGUGUGAGCUCCAAAGAUCUCAGAAGCAGGGCUGCCUCUCCUCUGUGGAAUAUCAUUCCUGUUGAGACACAACAGGCACCCACUAUUUGCACUUUCCAGAAACAGGUGAAAACAUUUUUGUUCUGAAAAGCUUUCCCAGCUGAAUAAACAAAGCUUUUCUAUGGGUGUUCACAUGUUAAGAGUUUUAGUCUUACUUCAAAUGUAUUGGUCAUGUUUGUGCCUUUAACCGCCUUUAAUUAUCUUCAGUGUAAAUUGCGUUGAGACAGUGGUUUAGGUGGUGAUGAAUUAAUUGUAAUGAGACCUUUGUUGUUGCCCAAAGCUGGUUGCCGUUCUAGCAGACAUGUGAUGUGCAAGAACCAAGGCUUUGAAACUGAAACAUGUGUUGCCCUGGGUCUGCAACAUGCUGGUCUCUGCCAUCAGCCAAGGUGCUAAGGGCCACUGUGAGGCUGCCUUUGUCUCCCAGGGAGAUGAUUUAAUUUAAUAUACAGUGGUACCUCGGGUUAAUAACUUAAUUCAUUCUGGAGGUCUGUUCUUAACCUGAAACUGUUCUUACCUGAGGUACCACUUUAGCUAAUGGGGCCUCCCUCUGCCGCCACGCGAUUUCUGUUCUCAUCCUGAAGCAAAGUUCUUAACCCGAGGUACUAUUUCUGGGUUAGUGGAGUCUGUAACCUGAAGCGUCUCUAACAUGAAGCAUCUGUAAUCCGAGGUACCACUGUAUACAAUUUAGCCCACCCUGAGACUAUCACUGAAUGGCCAGCUUAUAAAUUCAGUCAGUCAAAGGAGAGGCCAACCUGGCUUCAUCCAUCAGUCAGAGAAGGAGCAGCUGCAAGGAGUUUGCUUCUGUCCCUCCCUGCCAGAAAGGACACCUGGCUCCACCUGCCAGUUGCCAUGAGACUACAGAAGCAAGCAAGGGCUGUGGGGAGAGACGCUCCGGACUCCAUCCACUGGACAAAGGAACAAGAGCCAUGAACUGCUAUUCAAGCAAGAACACCAGCAUGGGAGCAGAAGAACAUCGGAGGGAUCACACCAAUGGUCCAUCUCACCCAGCAUCCUGUUUGCUUAUUGACCAACCUAUAGGAAGCCUGCAAGGAGAAUAACAGCAAUCUCCACACUUGUUAUUCCCAGCAACUGGCAUUCAGAGGCAUACUGUUUCCAACAGUGUAGGGAGAACACAGCCAUGAAGGGUAGUAGCCAUUGACUUCCUUUUAAUAACAACAGUUUUAAUAUUUGUACCCCACCCAUCUGACUGGGUUUCCCCAGCCACCCUGGGUGACUUCCAACAGAUAUAAGAACACAAUAAAACAUUGAGCAUUAAAACUCUCCCUAUACAGGGCUGCCUUCAGAUGUAUUCUAAAAGUUGUGUAGUUCUUUAUCUCCUUGACAUCUGAUGGGAGGGCGUUCCACUGGGCAGGCGCCACCAUCGAGAAGCCCCUCUGCCUGGUUCCCUGUAACCUCACUUCUCGCAGGGAGGGAACUGCCAGAAGGCCCUCAGAGCUGGACCUCAGUGUCCGGGCUGAAUGAUGGGGAUGGAGAUGCUCCUUCAGGUAUACAGGGCCGAGGCCGUUUAGGGGUUUAAAGGUCAAUACCAAGGGUUUGAAUUGUGCCCGGAAACGUACUGGGAGCCAGUGUAGAUCCUUUAGGACAGGAAUUAUAUCUUGUGUGCAGCCACACCUGGUCACCGUCCAGCUGCCACAUUCUGGAUUAGUUGUCAUUUCUGAGUCACCUUCAAAGAUUGUUAUCCUCUAAUAACUUUUCUAACACACCCCCCCUUAAAAGUCAUCCAGGUUGGUGGCUAUCAUCUUGUUGGGGCAAUUUCCAUCGUUUGUGCUCUGUGAAGAAGUGCGUCCUUUGUCUCUGCUGAAUCUGCCAACAUGCAGCUUCACAGAAUGGCCUCUGAGUUCUAGCAUUAUGUGUGAGAGAGGAGAUUGCCUUGACUCAAACUGCUGAUUGCUCUCCCCUUCCUUCUUUGAACUGUGGACUAUAAAUACAGUCAACCAACAAACUGUGGGAAUGGAUAGCUCAGGCACCUCCUCCUCGUAUCCUGGAUGCUUUACAUCUCGCUGUCAGCCCUGCUGCAUUCAAUCACACAGACGGGGCCACGUGACGGCGCUUGCCACAACUGGAUCAACAAAGUCCUGUUUUCCUUCAAAGGCGUGUAUUGCCCUGAGAAGUUAGCAAACUGGCACAUCCCUGGGAGCAGCUGAGUUAGAGAGGCGCCUGCAUAUUUCAUUCCUCUUAAAAGACUCCACUGCCCUCAAAGAAUGGCUGGCUGAUGUCUCCUCCACUUGAAUUUCGUUACAGGAUCUGUAAUUAGCAACUAAUAGAAUCCCUCCCUCCUCCCUGUAGGCCAGCAGCAGGUGCUCCUAUUUUCAGAUGUAUAUGAAAUAUCUGCCAAAUCAUUUGGCAGAUUUCAGGGAGAAAUGUGCCAAAUUACCUGUCACAGCAAAACUGCCUUUUUAAAGGAGAGAUAAAUGUUCCCGGAGCUCUAGUUCUACUGAACAACAGUGCCCCCAAGUGGCUGCUUGCACCGGCCACAGGUCUCGGGAUGCUCCAGAUUUCCUUUGGGAUCCAGCUCACGAAAAACCUAACACACUAUUCUGAAGCUAGGUCUGCAUGCUCAUACUACAUUGGGCAGAAGAAACCUUAUGCCAUAGAAGAGCAUUCCCUGUUAAGACGUUGAAGGUAGGAAAUGCUAAUGUUUCAUCAUUUUGGAGGAUGAGAAAAGUCAAUUCAGCACAUUCAUACAAGCCUUACCAAGUUAUUAGGUUUUCUUCUCCGGGCUUUGCAAACUGGGUUUGGAAGAGUCAGUCCCUGAUUUAUGUUCUUGGCAUGCCACAACUUUGAACAUGUUGAGUAAAGACAUAGACCAAUUUCCAACAGUGCACAAAUUGGCGCUUUCAAGCGGAAUGAAAGUUCAAGGUGCCCAAAGUUUAGAUUUGGAUUUGGUCAAAUACCCAAGAGAAAACACAGCCAUUCCAUCAGGCUCCAGCAGGAGAGAAGGGAAGCAAGGCAACCUCAUUGGCUCUGCUGAGAGAUCAGGUGCUUUGCCUUCCCCCUCCCCAACUGUUUCCAUUCCAUUCCAUUCUGUUAGAAGAAUCUGUUGCCUUAAAACUGAUACCUGAAUUUGCUUUCUGCCCUCCUCACUCCUUUUUCCUUUUGUGCCAUGUCUUCUAAACCACAAGCUGGACUGCAGGGUCUGUCCUUACCUGGUAAGACUUACAGAGUCUAUGUAUAAGCCAUUCUUGGGCCUGAUACAGUCAACAUGGUAACAGCAUGGAUAUCUGAUGGCAGGAUCAACACUGUAGGAAGCAGGAGGGCCAAGGUCCUCCAGGAACCAGGUGACAGUAAGGAAAAAUAUCAAAACAAGUGAACUCAGAGACCUGAACUGACCCAGUCUGAUGCUCCAGUCCACUGCCUCAGAGGCAAAACUAACCUUUAUUUAACCCAGUUUGGCACACACAUUUGUGCUCACAGGCUGGGAGGUUCAGACACCCUCUCCCACAUGUGUUGAAAGUCUGGGUGGGAAGGGUUGCAAGCCUGCAUGCAGCAGUCACAUUCGCUGCCACUGGCCCAACAGCCACAUGUCCAGCUAUCUGUGCAUUCUGUGGGCAUGUGCAGAGGCCCUGUGCACAUACCGAUGAACAUCUGUAGAGAUCUUCCACAUGAAGAAGGACCCUGAUUGGACAAGGGUCUCUCCCUCACAUGCAGGAGCUCUGUGCGCAUGCAUUGGUAUACAUGGAGAGUCCCUUCACAUGGCUGCAAAAUGUGAACAGAGGAACAUAGCAGGGGGUAGGAGUAGAUUACCCUAGAGGUCCCUUCUAAAUCUACAGCUCUGUGAACGAACGAACGAACAAACGAAGGAAGGAAGGAAUGAAUCUUUAUUUGCGUCAGCCACCGGCCAUAGCAACAAAACAACAACACAAUAUACAAAGAACAGAAAUAAAAAGUCAAUUAUAUAAAACACACUUUAGGGUCCUGAAUCAACAGUCAAAUAGUAGACCUUAUUCUAAUUGCCCCAGCUAAAAACCUUGCAACUUCCAUGAAUGGCCAACAGGUAUAGCCCCGGUGAUUUUGCACCCCAUGUCUUUUUCAGUUGGUGUGGGUGUCCAAGCCCCCUGAUAUGCUGUCACCAUUCUAAUCUGAAACUCCCCACAAGAGAUGUUGUGUACUCUGUGUGUGUGUGUGUGUGUUUCAUUUCUACUCCAUCUUUCCUCCAAGAAGUCCAAGAUGGUGGGCAUGGUUCUCUGAACAAUCCUGUGAGGUAGAAUAUGCUGAGAGGCAGUGACUGGGUGAAGGUCACUCAGUGAGCUGAGUGGGGAUUUGAACCCUGGUCUCCCAAGUUGCAUUCCCGUGCUCUUAAGGUUGUUGGUGACUGUGCCCAAAAUCUAGGCCUAGAAUAGCUUUCCUCAUUCUGGUGCCCUCCAGAUAUUUUGGACUAUAUCUCCCCUCAUUCCUAAUUAGUUGCCAGGUUGGCUGGGGCUCAUGGGAGUUGGAGUUCAGCACCAUCCAGAGACCAAAAGGUUUGGAGAAAGCUGGCAUAGAGAUUGUGUUUUCCAGCUCAGGAUCUACAAGGUUAGUGACUGAGGCCAGAUAAGGUGGAGCCAGCAGAAAGUUGGUUAGGCAAACAAAGAUCCAAAUACAUCUCUAUAUCUAGUUAUACUUGGGUGGGACCUAGGCAACCCAGAAAGCUUCAUUCUGUCUACCAGUCUCAAGGGCUGAAUUGCAUACCUGUAUCCCACUUUACACCUGAGUGGUCUCUAAGGCACACACCUUCUCAGGUAGCUCUAGGCUAGAUCCCAGCUGCUCUUUUGGCUUGAUGCAAGCAUAAUACAGGAGGAAGGAUAAUAAUUGGAGAGAAACCCCAAUGCAAUGCAAUUCAGAGACCAAAGGAAUCCCACCCUCAGCAAAACUGCAUUUCUGAGUGAAAUUAACUUUCAUUUUUUAGCAAGGAAGAGAAGAGGUUGGGAGGGACACGAUGUUAUUAAUAUGAGUUGAUAAUGGCAGAUGAAAUUCUUUUUCAUCUGCUGCUUGAGAUGUCAUUCUUGGAUUUUUCCUGGUUUAGUUUCCCUUUUAUCAGAACCUCGCAUUCUCUCUUUGGAGAGUUUUAAUUAACUUGCAAAGUGUUCUUUCAGUAUGAAUAAAUGAUUAUGUUAUUUAUAGCUGCUGUUUUUGCAAAAUCUCGUUGGAAUCCUGUUAAUUCUAAAAUGUUAAUGAUCUGGUUCCCUGUUAACAGUGAAAAACAUUUGACUUUGCAUUAUCACACUCCUCCCUGUUCCUCUAACUUGAAGCCUCACGCAGCCAAACUACAAAAUUGAAGGAAGUGUUCUCCAUUUGCCCAUUUGUAAAAGGAAGAGAUUUAUGGCAGGUUCCUUUCUAUGAAGCUUCACUUUUGGAAACUCAUUUGAGGCCAGGAGGGAUGAAUGGAUUUGUCAGUUUCGGUCUCUCUCCUUCCCCCAUUUUUCCAUUCUUAACUUCAGUUCCACAUUAGUUUUCAUUUAAACAACAGCUCCUCAUGAACAUUUUAAGGUACAUUUCUCCUUAGAGACACAUUGUUUUGCAUGCAAUUUUCCCUAAUGUAACACAUUUUUGUAUAUUAUUUUCACCAAAAUAUGCAUUUUUAUGCACACUUUCUCCUAACAGGAACAUUUUUAUUUAGAGAAGUGUGAAUGUCAAAGGAUAGCUCUAUUUUGGUUAUAUGGUUUUGGAAAGCACAAAUUAGGUAGGUCCACCUUAAACGCCAACCAAACCAGAUUUCUCCCCCAACCCUAGAAGCCAACCAAGUCCUCCAGUGGAUUUUGCAAAUAACCACAGCUUAGUAGUGAUGGGCAAGAUUUACCUAGCUCAUCUUUCACUCAUUUGCCCCAAGUUUCAAAGAGAAAAAAAAAGAGCAACACAAGACUUGUUAAAGAAAGCUCAGAAAAAAACAUGAAAAUUAUUACUGACCAUCCUUGUAGGGUAGCCACACAAUGCACCACCAAAAUAAUAGGAAAAGAGAGGGCAUAGAUAUGCAUAAAAUUUACAUGUUAAUUUAUACAUAUAAAUAAUCUCUAUAAUUUAAACAGAAAUGAAAUGCAUCCCACCAUAGUAGGGAAGACUGUGAUCAGAUCAUGCUGGUGUCUUCUUCAUUUGCUGUCAAGGUGCUAACUGCUGGUGGGCAACUUCAAGGUCUCUGCUCUCCUUCCUUUGGGCUAUUUAUCUGUAAACUGGCCAGUCCUUCAAGCACAGGACCCCCUUUUGUAAAGUAGGACACAUGGCCAUCUCUGAUCUGCAAGUAGGGAGGGGACUGGCUCCUAUGUACCUGAUCAGUUAGUGACAAGGUUUUUGUAACGCAAGCUCGGAUCGUUCCGUUUCACAUUUUGUAAUAUAUGUAUGGACUCAGCCCGAUGUGUCGAGUUACAAAAAUGUCAUAACUGAUCUCUCUUGUCCCAAGCCUGUCUGCUCAGAAGAAAGCUCCAUUAAAUUCAAUGCAACUUACUCCUGGGAAAGUGAUAUAUUUGUUUACUAAGCAGCCAGUUAAGAGGGUGUAUGUAAAGACAGAGACUUCUAAAAUUGAAGGCUUUCUUUUCUUUUUUGGGAACAGCAAAACAUGCUUCGAGUUUGAGAACAGUCACAGGGAUUUUGGUGUGAAAACAGUAUUUUUUUUUUAAGGCACUGAUGACUUAUUGUGAACUCUUGCAGAGAAGGCGGCAGAUUGCAUGCUAACAAGAGUGAGAGCUACAGGCAGGCUCCCUUUUUGUUCUCUUCUUAUGAGCUUCAUUCUCAUCUUUAUCCGCAACAUAGAGCAGGGACAGCAUGCAUCAAAAGCAGAAAGUGCACUGUCUUGGGAGAGCAGGAUUUGCUCUAACCUUCAUUUUAUGAACAUAUUAAAGGGUAAUGCAGCUGGAACAUAUCAAAUGCAACAGAAAAUGAACAAGCUAGAUGUUUCAGCCAAGGACAUUUAAUCAUUUCAUUAUGCCAGUUUAAAGUCUUCUCCCUAUUUACUUUGAUCUCUUUCCUCUUCUUUAAUCUCCCAUUUUGAAAGCAUAAUAUGCCACUCCCCUUUCAUUUCCAUUUAUCUUACUCUUUUUUUUGUACGUAAUAUGAAGUAGUAUGUAAAAUUGCUAUUUGACAGAAACUGUGGAAAGAAAGUUUUAUAACCUUUGGGCAUGUUCAAGCCCAACAGUUUACAAGGCUAUGACAAAUGUGUAUCAUGCAAUAGUAUUAAUAAAAUAACACAGAACAUGUAGAACAUAAUACUUAACAGAAAACAUAUUUGAACUUGAAUCUGCGGACAUGAAAUGGAGACCAGCAGUGGAAGAUCACUGUCAAUACUGAAGCUAUGUACACAUUAGCAGCUGAAAAUGCAGCAAGGUCAUUCCUCCCUUGCGGCAUUUCAAGUCACCAUCCCAUGUUGCUUUACAUCCCAGAGAAAGGGCAAGGAUGUCUUCACCCAAUGCACAUUACCAGUUUAGUACAUAGCUGUCAAGUGUCCCUUAUUUGGUGGGCAGUGCCUUAUCCCAGUGCCAUGUUCCGCUGCUGUCCCUUAUUGAUGAUGUCCCUUAAAUUUCCUGGGUUUCAAAGGAAGCAGCUCCUCUCCCUCCCUCCCCGCCGGCCAGGGAGGAGGGAGGCUCCAACUGUGUUGCUUGGCUGCGUUGUUCUCCCAAUAAGGAGUCUAAGAAUGACUGGGGGGUGGAGCUUGCAUGCCUUGUGCUGAUCAAAUCGGCCGUGUUGCCUGGGGACUCGCCUUUGCUCAGCGCUUCCCAGCGGAGAGGUGACGGUGGUUUUCCUUGCGGCAUCCCCUUUGCCAGGUUGCUGCACUAUGGGAACCACCACUUGAGGCUUCGUUUGGCUGCUGGCUGGGCUUUCUGCCUUUGGCUUGGAGGGGCUCAGAAGUCGAACAUACCUGUGCUGGGAAAAUCCCUUAUUUUGGCUGCUGAUCCCUUAUUUUCGAGGCUGCUGGUCCCUUAUUUUCAAAUCUGUAAGUUGACAGCUAUGGUUUGGUAUCCCUGUGCCUGCAAACUCCCCCCCCAAAAAAAUUCCUAUUUCUGAAUCUGUCAUCUGCGCAUGCACAACAGCUGUCUCAAAUGUACACACCUCAGCUUAAAUGCAAAGUCAAUGUGGCUUACAUUUUCAAAUCAUAUGGACGCUGAUUGGCAGGAAAAUACAUUGGAGAGCAGUGUUUCUCAAGGAACUACAAGACACAUGUAUGGAUUGUGGCUAACAUCAUGCAUGCACAGCUUCAAACGCCGGCAGUGAGCAUUCACUGAUGCCAGAAUGGAUGGUAACAUACACACAGCCAGAGUGACUUUAAAAUCCACAUCACACAAAGAGGUGCUGGAGAGAUUUGAUCUGUGUGACUGACUAUUCAAAAUAACCUCAUCUGUAUCUCUUGGACUAAUAUGAAUUAAGUUUAGAUUAGAUUUCAUACUUCUCUGAAUAUUUCAGUGCACUUCCUGGCAGUUUAAACAUUCCCAUAAUCUGGAUUUAACUCACAGAGUUGCAGAAAGACCAGGGACUCAAAAGGUCCAACCUCCUUCAAUGCAAUAAUUGUGUAGAGAAAAUGCAUGCUUCAAAACAUAUUUUGAAUUAAAUAAACAUCUAAAUAUAUUUUAAAAUACACAUUUUGCAUUUGUAUAUUUCAAAAAUAUUCACAGAUUAAUGCAGAAAUUGAACUGGAUUUUGGAAGGAAUAUGCUAAUGUAGCAGGAAAGAGGAAUGGAUUUGCCAAUACUUAAAUCAAAAGCCAGUUCAUGCCACCACAAGUUAGUCCUUGGGGUCUGGGAAUCUCAUAGUAACAAGAGGUGAAAUAAAUCUUCCAGAACUCCACUGUAGAUUUUGGUAGUGAAAUUUGCUGGAGCUCCUCCCCCCCCCCCAGAUAUGCAAAUAUUUGUAGAAUUUGUCAUCAGAGUUUGACACCCAAUGAUUGUGUAGUAAGUAACUGCCAACAUUUGACAGUAUCAGACAUGUAGCAAUCAACCUUUGACAGUAACUGACAACCAGAGUGGAAUGGCAGCCCGUAUGUGACAGCUUCUGGCAGCUGCAUUGCAAAUUUUGUACUAAUUUCAUUUGUUCAGUUACAGUGCAAUGCUUCACAGGUUAAUUCAGAAAUAAGUGCCACUGACUUCAGUGAAAUGUACUCCCAAGUGAGCAUGCAUAGGACUGCAGUCUUAAUUUCAUUUGUAAAAUAUCCUCUUGAAGAGACCAAUAAACCAAAGUACCCUUAUUUUGAAUUCUGAUGUCAGGUUUUAAUUCGAAACUCGAAUGUUGCAUUUAGGAGUCAAAUUUCAACAUCAAAAUCCAAACUGGGGCAUUUGAAAAUGUUACGAGUUUUGAUUCCCCUUCCCUCCAAUUAUUUAUUUAGCUAAAGCUCUGAUGGAGAUCUAGGGGGGAAUAUAUGGGAAUGUGGAGUAGGCCUGAAAGCAAAUGGAGCCAUCAUUAUUGCUUGCAGGACCAAAGGUAUAUAGAGUUACAUUACGUGAGCUAAUGGCUGCUGGAAAUUUGAGAAGACCUGUACAUUUCACUUUGAGCGAAAAGAUAAAUACAGCAAAAAACAUGGUGUCUAUGUCUGAUUAGAACAAGUUAAAGUACAGUUUGGAAAAAUGGAAAUCAGAGAGAGAUUACACACACACAACACACAAACCAUGAUGGUUUUUGGAAGGCCUUUGAUCCAGAAAGGACGUGGUUUCCAAAUUAUAACAAUCAUUAAAAAAAUAAAAACACUAUCCAUUUUAUCAUUUUAUUAAAUAAAAGCAAAAUCCUAAAACAUUAAAAAGGAAAAGAACAGAAACCACAAGCCUAACAGCAGGUAAACACUCUUAGGGUUUGUCCACACUUACGCUUGUCUUUCCACUAUCCCCCAUGAAAACUCACUCGUUACAGCUGAAUCGGGGCAAACAUCGAUCAGGUUUUCUAUGGAUAGAUGUUUGCUCUGAUUCAGUGGUAAAGAAAAAGUAUUCCUGGGGAAAGUGGUGGGAAAAUGGAAAACCACUCAGACCAUGGGUGUAGCCAAGGGGGGUAGCUGCCCCCCCCAUUCAAUAAAAAUCAAUAGCAAACUGAGGUUCUGCCCCCCGCCCCCUGCCCAACAAAAAUCCUGGCUAUGCCCAUAACUCAGACCUGUAUCUAAAAAAGCAUGGGACAAGCUGAAACCCUCCUGGAGCCAUGUUGUUUUUUUUAGGCACAGGACAAGUGGAAAUCCUUAGAUUACAAUUAAAUUAAAAACUAGCCUCCCUUUCAGCUGGAUGCUGGAAUAGAAAGAUUUGUGGCACCUUCCUAAAGAUUAAGAAAGCCAGCCUACAGAGCUUCACUGGGGGAAGAAUUGUGCACUGAGGGUGCCCCUGCUCAUUGCACCAAUUAAAAUUUGGAUAAAAGGGGAAAACAGAGCUGGAAUUCAUGUGAACAUCUUACGCUUAGUAAAGAGGCCCACAUGGUAUAAAGCACUCCCGAGAUAAUCUGGGUCAGAGCUUUUGAUCCAGAUACAAAGAGUCCUUAUUCAUGUUAAUGGAAAAAGUUGAUCACAUCAAAGGAGGCAAGGGGCCUUCUUGGAUGGUCACUGAAAGCGUUCAUGAAAGACACCUCCUUCACACCUUUUUCACCUCCUGGUCCUGGUCCUGUCAAUGGUGGCAGCUGCACUCCCCACUGCUCCUUGGUACCACUUUUGUCCUUAUUCCUACCCACAAUGCUGUGGAUGUGGGUGAGUGUUUGGGGGUGCAUUAAAAACAUUGCCCUCUCUCUGAAAUGGCUUCAAACAUUGCCUUGUUUCCUCCAUAGCGUCUUCAUUUGUUCACAAAGUCCAAUCCAUGUGAGGGGAGUGCUUCCUGUCCUCACUAUGAUUUGGCUGCAUGACACCAUGAAACCCACAGCAAUGAUGAUAAGCAGCAGAAGGGAGUAUGGAUGCCGUCACCAGUAAGUGGAGUGAACAUUUUUGCCUCUUUUGCAGAGUCCUCCCAAAGGUGUCCUAAAUACCUCUCCAUCUUUGCAGCCUGUGAACAGGGCAGCAAAACCAUGUGGGUGUGCUUAAGUUGAGCCCUAACAUAAAAGCUCUUUUUUUGAAAUGUGAUCAUUCACUGUGGGGAUUUGGAACAUCCUUUGAUUAACUCUUCAUGCAGUGCAUAGUGAAACCGUGAGCUUGUUCCUACGGGAGACAUUGGUGGCCACCCAUUUGGGUGGCUUUAAAAGUGGAUUGGAUAAAAUCAUAGUCGAAAAGGCUAUCAAUGGCUACCAACCAUGAAGGCUACGUUCUACACCCACUGUUGGAGGAGGUGUGUCUGAUUAUCAGUUGCUGGGAUUGGAUAAGUGGGAAGAGUGCUGUUGCUGUCAUUCCCAUCUUGCAGACUUCUCACUGGCAUCUGGUUGGCCAUUUUGAGAACAGAUGCUGUACCAGAUAGGCCAUUGGUCUGGUCCGCCAGGCUCUUAUAUUCUUAAGUCCCUGAAGUUCACCCAAAACAAGAGUGGAGAUGUCGAGAGAGUAAAAUGUUUGCAAGGGAAGGUGAGGACAUAUUCAGAAACUCUAACCAGACAUGGAGAUAUCCCCCUAGAAAGAGGAAUUGAAGUGGUGUUUGAGACCCCCUGCCUUCCCUUCAUUUCUGUGGCAUCUCUUAACCAGGGGCUUCUGCAAGUGCCCUUAAACACUGCAUAGUUCACAUUUAUCUUCCCAAAGCCAAUGCCCAAUCAUCUCCACUUCCUUUCGAUUUUUCCACUGCUGCUCUUUAUUGUAUAUGACAUCUAUCAGAGAGACUUGCUCCUCUGUCAGUAAACAUAUCCCUGACUUUGCUUUGUGUACAGUUUUCUCCCCUUGGCAUGCGGCUGCUCCCAACGGAAUGGAACUUCUGUUCUGACAGCUGCUUGUUCUGUGUAGAGGGGGAAUGAAACUGGAGGAAACAAUGAGAUCGAUCAGUGGGCUCAGAUAAAAGCAAACAACGGAAGGGGGUGUCAGGGAAAUAAAUUGGGAAAGGGAUAUUGCCACCACUUGGGAGGGGGCAUCAAAGAGAGGGAGAGAAGCUUGAAAGAGCAAGAGGAAAAUGGCAGGUGGGCAAAUGGAUCUGUGUGGGCAAAUGGAUCUGCUUCUCCAGAACAUCUUGUUUCAUGAGAGCUGCUGAGAAGCUGAAAACUCUGAUCCAAGGGAGAAAGAGAGAGAAAGAGAGAGAGAAAGAGAGAGAUCAAAACUGGAAUGUAAAGAGACCCCUUACACCAGGGGUUGGAAACCUUUUUCAGUCCCAGGUUUGCAUUUCUUCAUGAGAAACUUUCCAGGGGCCACCUGCCAAUGGUGUGCAGAGCAAGAGGGAAAAGUGUACAAAGCAACAGAUUUGACUUUUACCAUUGUACAGUGGGUUACAUACCAGACACAGCAAUUGAGAGUUUUCUAUAUGCACACACAUCUCUCCAUCACAGUCCAAAGACACAUUCUAGCCGGACAAAGGCACUUGAGCAGGGCCACUGAGAGAUGGAGGCAAGGAGUGUGGCCUAGCAAGAGACCCAACAGAGUCCAGAGAGACUGACACGGAGGCCUGGAGGUUCCCCACCCCUGCCAUACACUGUGGCAGUCCAACAGCCUGAGUGCAUCCCUAUAAUAACUAGUAGAGGUCAGUUAUUAUUUAUUAUAUUGCUAUACGAUUGAGAGGUUGGUUUGGAUGCUAUAUUUGGACCUCAACCAAUCCUGUGAUUGUCUACCAGCAAGACUGUAGCCUAUAUUGGAGGGAACCCGCUGAAAUGGUCAAACCAGUCGCUUUGUUGCAAUAAUGGCCCUAGCUGGGCCUGUGAGCAUCCUAUCUGCAUGACUGAGGAGUUGGCCAUGUUGCCAUAGAGACCACAGUCCUCCAGGAAAGCUUUUACUCUGCUCAGCUGGCUAGGCAUUGCUUCAUCCUAGAAGUAAGAGAACAAUAAACCUGGGGCUAUUGUUAGUUUGGUCUGGAGCUUGAAGCUGAAAAGACAGAGGUGAACUUGCUGUCUGUGCUGAGGUUCAGCACUAUGCCCCCCCCCCCACGGUUGCAUAUAUGUGUAAAUAAAACCAUAUAUUCUAAAGGCACCACAGUCUCCAGUGACCUUCAUUUCAAGGAAACCAAACCCAAUGUAACCACUGGAGUCCUUCAAUGCUCAGAGAAACCUUGGAGAGCUGCUGCAUGUCAGUGUAGGCAAUGCUGAGUUGGAUGGACUAAUGGUCUGAUUCAGUAUAAGGCAACUUACACUGUGUCACUUGGGAUUGCAUUGCCCACCCAUUAAUGGAGGUCGAUCAGUAGCUCCUAGUUAGGAUAGACUAUUGAUUAUUUUAGCUAAAUGGAGAGAGAAUAUUGCCACUAAAUACCAGUUACUGAGGAGGGACAGCAUAGCAGGUUAUUGCCUUCGUGAGUUAUGGUACUUAUGGGCUUAUCAGAGGCAUUUGAUUGACCAGGUUUCGAAACAUGAUAGAUUAGAUGGGCCUAUGUGGUCUGUAUAGCAGGACUCUCAUUCAGACUUUAAGUUUAAAAGAAAGAGAGAAACUUAAGGCCUAUACAGUUUUUACAUUGCUAUAUUUUAUGGCCUGGUGCAUUCCUUUGUAAUUGGGAUUUUCUUCUCAUUAAAUAUAGAAUAAGACAUAGUUUCUUAUUGAACUCAAGGAUGCGUUUCAAGCAAAUAGUUUUAGCAAUGCUAUAACCUAAAAAAAAAAAAAACCCUCACACACAGUGUGAAAAGUUUAUGAACAGCAGCAGAUAGCGGAGGUAAAACUACUGUCUUGGGAUUUAAUGCGACCGUGUAAUGUUAUUGGGACAAUUGUGCACAGGAAUAAUUGUUUCAAUCAUAUUCAGCACGAGUAAGGCUUUUGAAAUUAAAUAAUUUAUAAUGUAUAUUAAGUUAAAUAAUCUAGACAGUCAACCCAACGCAUUGCAAUUGGGGGAAGUACAUAUAUUAACCUCGAGGGAACAACUGCUAUUCCUACUUAACUGUCCAGGGCUGCUAUGAAUGCAUUUAAUGUAUAUUAUUGCAGCCGUAAAUUGAAAAACAAGAUGAGAAUUCCUAACGUUACUGCUGACCAUGAUGGACUUGGAGUGGGACUCUAUAAAAACAGCCUAGAAUGUGCUUAAUCCCUUUAAAAGAGGGUCUUAGAGCUCAAGGCUGCAAGGAAAGCACAGCCUCUGGUCCAAUUCUAAAUGUGUGGGGUGGAUUGUUGCAACUUCUAACACAUGGGGAGCCUGUGCAGAAAGGCUCAUCUCUGGGCUGCACAGUAACACCAGAAAACUGCGCUCACAUGGGUAUCCAUCUUUCUAAGUGAUUGCCAACUGCUUAUAUCAAAGAGAGGUUAUAGCUAUAUGGGAAACAGCCACAGCACAAAGUCCACAAAGACUGUGGACAUUGGCCAUUUCAAGUAUUGUGAAGAAAUCCUGCUAAAAGGAAUAGUAGUGUCCCCCUGUGGCCAGAGGUUGGGCUGAAACAACACCCUACAUAAGGAGACCAAAAUAGGUGUGAGCCUCAGUACCCCUAGUUGGGCACUCCACUUCUGGAUAUUCCAGGCUCAUGAGAUGACGGUGUAGUGCCAGAGGCUUUCCUUCUAUCUGGCUUACUUAGGGGGAGUAGGCAAGUCCUGUGUAGAUAAAGGUCCUGAUAAGAUACUGGAAGAGGCAGGUGCAUCAUGCCCAGUCUGAAGCCAUUAGUCCUUGUCUAUUCAGUGCUGAGUGGGAUGCGGGUGGCGCUGUGGGUUAAACCACAGAGCCUAGGACUUGCCGAUCAGAAGGUCGGCGGUUUGAAUCCCCGCGACGGUCCCAGCUCCUGCCAACCUAGCAGUUCGAAAGCAUGUCAAAGUGCAAGUAGAUAAAUAGGUACUGCUCCAGCGGGAAGGUAAACGGUGUUUCCGUGCGCUGCUCUGGUUCGCCAGAAGCGGCUUAGUCAUGCUGGCCACAUGACCUGGAAGCUGUCUGCGGACAAACGCCGGCUCCCUUGGCCAAUAAAGCGAGAUGAGCGCUGCAACCCCAGAGUCGGCCACGACUGGACCUAAUGGUUAGGGGUCCCUUUACCUUUACCUUUAUUCAGUGCUGAUGCAACAACUCUCAGAGGAAGCUCCCCACCUCGCUGUGCAGAUGGAGCUCUGGAUCCCUCUGGACAGUUCCUUGGGUGGCCCAGGCCUCCUGCUCAGUACCUGCUCUGACUGAUUGAGCCCUCUACACCGCUCAACAUCAAAAGAAGCAGACACCCAGAUGUGCUUGAUGGUAAUGCAGGCCUUGGAGCAGACUGUGGCUUGAAUGGCAGCAGUUGGGGCUUCCUGUAGAUACAUUUGGCAUAGGCGGGAAGAAUCCUCUUCAUCGUCUGUAGUUCCAAAUUGCUCCUCCCAGAAUCUUGCCAGUGGUUUGGGUUUGCCCGGGAACAGGCGGUGGAAUUCCUCCACCAGAUACCCGUCAUCAAUUGCCUCCGCGGGAACCCACGUGUUUUCCGACCCGGGUUCUCCCUCCCAAGCUACCAAGUACUCCACCUGGCGUCCUCGCCACCUUGAAUCAAGUAUUUCCGUGGCCAAGUGGUGGUGCUCCCUCUCUUCUACCUGCGGGUGUGUGGUGACUUCUCCCUCUCGCCCCGGGAAUUCCCGCCCCUCCCUGUACGGUGAGAGUAGGGACCUAUGGAACACCAGGUGUAUUUUCAUGCUGUCAGGCAACUUGAGCUUGAAUGCCACGGGGUUCACCUGCUGUGUUACCUCAAACGGUCCCAGCCGCCUGGGCUGCAACUUCUUGCACCCCCCCUUAAAGGGUAACCCUUGGGUUGACAACCACACCCUGUCCCCCACCCGUAUGGUCUCCCCUUCCCUACGGUGCUUGUCUGUCUGCCUCUUGUAAAUUUCCUUGGCCCGCUCCAAGUUCAUCUUAAGUUGCUGGUGCAGGGCCUCCAUUUCUUCCACAAACUGCUCUGCCGCAGGUACGCUCCAACUUUCCUCCCCACUCCCCGGGAAGGCCCUGGGGUGACACCCAUAAUUGGCCAUGAACGGGCUCAUUCCCGUGGACACAUGUUCAGCGUUAUUGUACGCAAAUUCAGCCAGCGCUAGUUUCUCCACCCAAUCGUUCUGCCUCUCGCUGACGUAACAGCGUAGGUAUUGCUGGAGUAUACUGUUCGCUCUUUCUGCUUGCCCGUUGGUUUCCGGGUGUCUCGCCGUCGAGAAGCCCACUUCGACCUGUAGGAAGCUUAUGAGCUUCCUCCAGAACCGGGAAGUAAAUUGUUUCCAACGGUCGGAGAUAACCCUCGAGGGAGCCCCAUGCAACCUGAAGAUAUGAUCUACAAACAACCUGGCUGUUUCCUCUGCCGUAACCGCAUGUGAGCAGGCUAUAAAAUGGCACAUUUUUGUCAGUAGAUCGACCACUACCAUGACUGCUGUCUUUCCCCGGGACUUGGGCAAAUAGGUCAUAAAAUCAAUGGACACCACCUCCCAGGGUUUUCCCGGCGUGGGUAAGGGUUCCAGUAAUCCUGCGGGGGCAACCCGCUCCCCCUUUGCCCUUUGGCAGCGGUCGCACCCCCGUACAUAUUCCCGUACAUCCUCCCUCACCCUGGGCCACCAGAACUGCCUGGUGACGAGCAUCAUGGUUUUGUGCUGUCCAAAGUGUCCAGCUGUGGGGUUGUCGUGGAGUUGUUUGAGUACCUUCCCCCGUAGGGUCUCCCCCGGUACAUACAGCGCCCCCUUAUAGUACAGCACCCCUUCCUUCUCCUCAAACCCUCCUUGGGUUUCUCUUCCGUCUCGGAGUUCCCGGAUUUUAGUUUGUGCGAACAUGUCGUUUCUAGUAAGUCCGGCCAGUUCUCGUUUCCCCACCAAGAUUCCCCCACACACCCACCGGUCCUCGGGGAUCACGUGUCGUAUCUCCGGCGGCCCCUCUUCUUUCCAGUACUCUGGCUUCCGGGAGAGAGCAUCUGCUCUCACGUUUUGCUCUCCUGGUACGUAUCGGAUUUCGAAGGAAAACUUGGAGAACUCCUGUGCCCAUCGAAUCUGCCUCUGGUUGAGUACUCGUGCGGUCCUCCAGUAUUCCAAGUUCUUGUGAUCUGUACAAACCUGGAUCUUGUGCUGCGCCCCUAUUAGUAGAUGGCGCCAUCGACGAAACGCCGCAUAGAUCGCAAGCAGUUCACGGUCAUACACAGUAUAGUUUUGCUCUGAUUUGCUCAGCUUUCUCGAGAAAAAGGCACACGGCUUCCAUUCCUGCUUGCUCCUCCCUGGCUGCAAAAGAACUGCCCCAAUGGCUCUGUCGGACGCGUCGGUCUCUAGCCUCAUGGGUUUCUCCAGAUCCACGUGCAGGAGCUGCUCUUCCGAUGCGAACGCCUUCUUCAGUCUUUCAAAGGACUGCUGGGCCCCCUCUGUCCAGACGAACUUCCUUUUGCUACUGAGACAAUCUGUGAUGGGCGCUGUCAAGUGGGCGAAGUUCUUGAUGAACUUCCUGUAGAAGUUGCUGAACCCUAAGAACCUCUGCACAUCCUUCCGGGUUUUGGGAGCCUUCCACUCCAGCACUGCCUGCACCUUGCUUGGGUCCAUCGCUAGGCCUUUGUCUGACAACCUGUACCCCAGAAACUCGACUUCUCUGGCGUGAAACUGACAUUUUUCCAGCUUGACCCACAACUGGUGUUUCUGCAGUCGUUUUAGCACUUCCCUGACGUCCCUGACAUGUUGCUCCUCAUUGUCCGAAUAGAUUAAGACGUCGUCCAAGAAGGCUACGCAGUUCUUGUACAGCAGGGACCCCAGCACGUGGUGCAUGAAAGCUUGAAAACAGGCGAAGCCCAACUGUAAUCCAAAAGGCAUAACUAGGUACUCAAAGGCCCCUAGGGGUGUGAACAUUGUGGUCUUCCAUUCAUCCCCCUCCCUCAUCCUAAUCAAAUUGUGUGCUCCCCUGAGGUCCAGCUUGGUAAAAAUUUCCCCUUGCCUCACCCGUGUUAAAAUGUCGUCAAUCCUGGGCAUAGGGAAGGUCACGGGUUCCGACACCAAAUUGACGGCCCUAUAGUCCACAACGAGCCUGGGUUUAUUUGUGUCCUUUUUGUCCACAAAGAACACCGGACUGCCCCCCACCGCUUUUGAUUCUCUUAUGAAGCCUCUUUUCAGGUUCUUGUCAAUAAAUUCCCACAACUCCUUCAUCUCCCUGUCCGACAUGGCAUAUAGUUUACCCACCGGCAGCUGCGCCCCCGGGAGCAAGUUGAUUUGGCAGUCAAAGGGCCUAUGGGGGGGUAGUCUAUCCGCCUCCUUCUCGCUGAAGACCUCCUGCAGGUCAGCAUAUUGUGGUGGCACCUCCCCUUUCCGCUCCACGGCUAUCCCAGCCACCCUGGCCACGGUCAUUCUUGGGGUUUCCCCCCCUAGACAGUGUUCCAAACAGUAAGCGGACCCAAAGGUGACCGUCCUCUGAUGCCACGCCACCACUGGAUCAUGUUGUGCUAGCCAGCUCAUCCCUAAUAUUAUUGGGGGCCCUGCCAGUGAGGCUACGUGAAAGGUGAUGGUCUCCGAGUGCCUGGAAACCCUCAUUCUCAUUGGUGGGGUCUGGUGUGUCACUUCCCCUCCCAGAAGCUCUCUGCCAUCAAUGGUGGUUACUUGCAAGGGGAAAUCUAAGGGCAGCAGGUGGAGCUGGUGCUCUAGUACAAAGUCCUUGCUGAAGAAAUUGCAGGAACUGCCUGAAUCCAACAGCCCUUUCACCUUGACUGGGUGCCCAUUCGGGAGUUCUAGCACCACUUCUAUGGCUAUAGCCGCCCUGAGGGGGUCUGGUUGGGGCACUUCUAUUGGUUGCUGGCCUGGCUGCUGUGCCCGCUGAGUGGCAGCCAAGCGUUGUCGUUUCCCUGCUCCUUUCCCUUUUCCACUCCCCCCUCACCCCCUGCAGCUCCCACCAUUCCUUGCCAGGCCUUUCUUUGAGGGCAGACCCUGGCAAAAUGUCCUGGCCGCUGGCAGAGGAAACACUUCUUAUUAGUUCUCCAAUCCUUUCCCUCCUUCUUGCGACCGUCGCUGGAAUUUGAAACCUCCCGCGCGCGCGCCCCAUCUAUUUCCAUUGGCUUCGCCUGCCGGCAAGCCAGCCUUGGUAUUUCAGGAAUGCGGUAGUCAUGGUAACGUUGCUCUCUCCCUUCCCGCUUCUCCUGAGCCCGCGCUUCCUGCCUUACACCAAUCGCAAGCACAGCCUUGGUCAGCUGAUCCAUCGACUGCGGGCGGGAUGCGCGGGAAAGCUCAUCCUUCACCGUUGGGGACAACCCCUCCUCGAACAACAUUUGAAUGGGUUCAGAGUCCAGUUCCCACCCGAGCCAGUGAACUAACAUGGCAAAGCGUGACCAGUAGUCUCUAACUGACUGGUGCCCCUGUUUACAGUUCAUCAGUUCCCGCCGAGUCACACUUUGCUGUACAUCACUGGAGUACAUUGCGUCCAUCGCCUGGAAAAAUUUCCUCAGGUCCUUCAAGGCGGCAUUCUGCGUUGCCAUUAGGGGCCUGAUCCAUUCCCUGGCCCCAUCCUGCAGACGCCCAACAAUAUAAGCAACCCGCUCCCCGUCGUCUGCAAAAUCAUUCUGCUGCAGUUCCAAAGCGUACUCUAUUUCCGUUCGGAACGCACUAUAGUCCUGGGGCUUCCCUCCAAAUUUGUGUACCAGUCCCGGUACCUUCCUUGCUACGGGGGUGGGUCUGACCUGUGCAUCUUGAGCCCGCCUUUCGUCCAGCCGCGCCGUCAGAAGAGCCACAUGCUGCUCCAAAUCUCGGUUCCUCUCCACCAGAUUUUGCACUCCGGCUGCUCCCUCCAUGGCGCCAGGGACUGACGGAUUGCUAUAAUGGGUAUGGGGUUGCUCGUGCUUAAGUUGCCGCCUCUCCUGGCUAUGUUGCCUUGUUAAACCUUUCUGUCUGGACAGCCCUUCAAUUCGUGGCUGCCUCAGUCGCUAGCAGAAUCCGUCAGUGGGCGUUUCUUAAACCUCUUCCAACAUAAAAGUUGUUUGAUGCCCAGUCUCCUCCUACUCUCCCUGCGUGGAAGUCUUCUGCACAGGGAGGGCGUGGGUAGCGGAGGACCAGUGCUCUCCCUGCUGGUGUCCAGUGAAGAGUCCUGGAGCCCUCUCGCCGAUUCCCCCAUCUGCCCCCUUUAUCCCUGGUGUAACGUUGAUUUGCUUCCCCCUCUGCUGAACUGCCUCUCUCCCUGCUUGGCCCUUCUCCAGCAUCAUUUGAGAGCCUUCCCUCCGCCUCAGGCUCCGAUGUCAGUUCCCUGACAGGUGAGCUAGUCAGUUAGGGCUCAGAUGUCAACAGGCCCUGGUGUACGUAAAAAAAGAUGUCAGUGAUAAUGAUAACUUGAAGCUACGUUCAAUAUGUGUACAUAUAGUCAGUUCCUAAGUCAAGGCGAAGCACUUGAAGAGAGAACUUCCUGUGAAGGUGAAUGAGAGGAGGAAGCCAGUUUGGGCCAGGAGGCUCAGGAGUUAAAUUACUUAACUGUACUUAAAUUAAGCUGUUCAUGUUUGAGAUUCAUGUGCCUCAAGUCUGUUUCUGUGAAAGACAGCUGUGGUGGUUUGUGUAUGCUCUUCGCAAUAAGCACCCUCUGCUCACUCAGAUAGAUAUUUACAGUUCUUUAUUUUACAUAUGUACAAGCAGCACAGUACAAUCAUGCAUCCGAAUUGUCCGGUUCAGAUUUGGGGAGUGGUCUUCUCUUGCUUCUCGUCCAACAGAAGAGGCGGGGGAGCUUCAUGGGACGUCUCUGAUCCCUGCACUUUAACCCUCUCCUUUCCUGUGCCGAAUGCACAGGCAUAGGGGCUACGUCUGUUCCUGAGCUCCCUGUGCGGUGCUGGGGCUCUGUUUCAGCAUCGGAGAGCCUUCCCACCUCCUGGCUCUCUCCCUCUUCCCCUUCUGUCACUUCCUCUCCGUCUCCUUCUGACUGUUCCCGCUCUGACUCUUCUCCUCCACCCCCACCCCCGACUCAAAGGUGUUCCUUGGCAGUCCUUGCCCUGCUGGGCAACAGCACAAUAUGCACCCCUUUUACAGUAGCAGAUUGAAGAUACUAGCUGUGGACAAGUGGAUGGGUGUGAUUUGAAGAGGAAAGUGAAGGGCCAUGGGGCCCACUCAUCCCUCUAGCCAAGGGCCCCCAUUAACCUGCAGUCAGCCUUGAGCCCUAGUCACUAAAGCAUCAUCUUAUUACCUUUUUGGCAGACCCAGUUAGAUCAAUGACCCUCAACACAGCUAUGAUUAUUACCUGCAAUACCAGCAAAAAAUCUUUAUCUUUGUCACAGAGCUACUUUAUACCAUCAUUUCUCUACAUAAAACUUGGUCAUAAACUGACAAUUUCAGCAUUUUACUAUAUGUAAAAGCAUUUUAAAAACCUGUGAAUUAGGUCUCACUUUAGUAACCUAUCUGAAGCUGCUGACUUCAGUCUAAGUAUAGCAUAGUCAGGCCACUUAAAUCUCAUGAACUCUGCUGGAUUGCAGCAUUUUCUCCAUUUCCAAAGGUUCCAGUGCUUUCCAAGUUUAUACAAAUGUCUGUUGCAUCAUGCAGAUGAGGAUUUUAUUUUAUUUUUUGUAGUCUAAGCUAUAAUUGUGUGGCACUCCCCCACCAUGAGGCCUAUUUGACUGAGGACUUUGGACUGCACUGAAGCAAUACUGAGAGAAUUCUAUAAAUGUAAACAUAGUGAUUACUCCAUAAAAAUUAUAUGUGCACUCUAAAAUAAUACAUGGCAUAAUAUUGUAUGCUAGGCUGUUAAGACAUUUACAGAGGUCAUAAGGAUGAUAUAUGUAUGAAUAGCAGCACAGCCAAGACUUAAAUGCAAUUAAGAUGGUUUUUAUUAUAUAAAAUAUUACAUCCCACACAGAAACAGCUUCUAUUUAAUUAUUUUGUCCAACGUGCCUCUUUUCAUUCCCCACCCCCCUUCCUUCUCCUCCUGGCUACAUUACACACUGGAGGAGGUUAUUCUGCCUUCAUGGGUUUUAGCUUAAUUAAUUGGCUAAUCUCUCCAAGAACAGUUUUUAUCUAAAAUGUUUAUGCACAAUCUCUUAAUUAACGGAAAGAAGAAAAAAAAUGCUUAUGGAUUGGUAACCAAGUCAUUUGCUGCCUCUUGCAAUUACAUUUGACCCAUGACAUUGCCAUUAGCAUUUUUGAACUAAAGCAUAUUUUACAUUUGAUUUCAGGGUCAUGUACAAUAGGUUGCAUAGGGUUACAUAAUCUACAUAAUAAUGCUGUAUGGAUUCAAGCACAGAAGGUCCACGGACUCUUUCCAUCUGAAUUCAAAUGAGCAAUGCAUGCUCUGUGUUACCCUCCCUCAUGUGCAAGCUGUAGUGGCUUUUAGAGGUGCACCAAAUGUUCAUUUUGAUGCUAAAAAAACAACAACAACCCAAACCCUAAAACAUUUUUGUUGUGUCAGUCCUGCUUUGAGGAAUGUUAACUCCUCUCUCUGCCCCUUUCACUGUUUUCUUUUUUCCCUGUUGUGAUUCAGUGUCUAACUGGCAGCUUCAAUGGCUUUUAAAUAUAACAACUGGGGUUCUUUCUCCUAAAACAUGACCCUUUCCCCAACCAGGGAUUACCUAUAUGGCCUGUUCCUUAGGCAAUAAACGAGGGCAUUUUGACAGACACAUAACUUCAAUGCUUUGUAAAAAUACUGAAAACCAAUGGUUUGAAUGAAAUUCUUCAUUGGGUCAAUUGUACUGGCGAGGUCUCUUCCAUCAGCACUGGAUUUAGGGUGGCGCAGGUGGUUCCCCCACACAGGGUGACAAGCCAAGGGGCACAAAACAACAACAACCUAUUUCUCAUAUAUAUAGGGAGGUGCCAAAUUUUGUCCUCUCUCAUGGUGCCAUAUCACCAAACGCCUCCCCUGCUUCCACCCUUCUGUUAUUUGUCAUGUUGGAGAAAAUAAUAAUUUCAUAAAACUGUAUUUUGAUGAUUCUGAUUUCUUUUGAGCCUAUGGCCUAGCUAAACUGAAAAGGCCUGUGCCUGCCCACCUUUUGCAGUACAGAACUUGUUGUUUUUAGGUACUGUGUGCAGCGAACGUCUAUUCCAAAACACUGAAAAGAAUAAACUGUUAGACUCUACGGUGGCCGUUGUAUACAUGAAAAGAGAAUCAGCUAGGCAUGGCAAUUGUGAUUUAUCUUGAAUUUUUUUUUGUAGCUAGAUGAAAGAGGACAUUGGAAUACAUUUAAUGAAUAGGAAAAUUAGUCAAAGUCUUAAUAAAGGAAGACACUGAAAAAUGGUUAUAUGUAAUCACAUGAUAUUAUGGUGAGGGCUGAUCUGAAGAGCCAAAGGUUUUUGAUUGGUUCAGGAUGAUGACAUUGGGUUGUGACUAUUAAGAUUGCUGUGAUCCUUUGAUUGGUGAAAUGAAAUGACAUGUUUGAUCUGGAAGUGUAUAAAAAAACAUUGCUUUGGAUGUGGUUCCUUGCAGCCUCCUCCUAAUUUUUGAAUCUGUCCUUAUGUGUAUUUGUAAAUCACUUGGAGUCUGCAUCUUUUUCUUUUCUGUUUCUACGUGGGUAACUUUCAGUCUAGGAACCUCUUUUAAAAUAUCCCCAACAGUCUCUCUGUCUGCUUUUCUACCUCUCUGGUCAGAUAUCAUCCCCCUUAAUCCUGUUGUACUUCUGCUUAAUCCCUUUAACCUUUGGAAUUUUGAAGAGUUGAGGAAAGAUACAGUUAUCUGUAGCUGAUUCUGCUUCUCUCACUUUGAUCAUGGCUGUAUUUCAACAACGUUGCACCUGAAGCAAAAGUCAAAACAACAUCAGUCUCUCCCAUUCAUUUUGAGGGAUAAUGACACAGAAGGAUAAAUGUUUGGAGGCGGGGGGGGGGGAUAGCACUGAGAUAAACUGCUUCAUCGUAAAGACUGCCUUGAGAAUGAUAUUCAUCAACAAUCACAAUCGAUGAAAAAGGUGGCAGCAAUUAAUUGCUUAGUAGAUGUCUAAUGAUUUAAAAUUACUAUUAAUACAAAUUCUUAUAAAAGUUGCAAACUGCAAGUACUUUCUUGAAAGAGGCAAUCCAGCCUAUUAUUAUAAUCUAAUAAUAAUAAUAAUAAUAAUAAUAAUAAUAAUAAUAAUAAUAAUAAGUGGUAUUCAGUUAAGCAUUAUUUGGAGUAGACUCACUGAAACUGCUUCAUAUCUGAUCAGAUCACUGUGUUAGAAAACAUAUAGGAUGCAAGGCAGGAUACAGAUCUGCUUCCACUGUGGUAUAGUCCUUCCUUUACUACUGUGCUGUGGUCCUUACCUGGAACAGCAAUGUUCUCCUAAUUUCUGAUUGAUAUUCUCCCCAAUAUCCAUGCUAGACCUCCUGUUGCCUCUGUUACCUGUAUUAUGGGUUGGUGGCUUCAGUGAUUUGUUAUGAGUCAUAGUUUCUAGAAUGACUUUGUUAAAUUCAGAUUGUAUAUCUUUCAAGGUUCUUUUUCUUCCAGUUGUUUCAUUGCUUUCUUCAAUCUCAAUUGGUUAUAAUGGUCCUCUCUGAAAUGCUAUAAUUUGCAAGGCAUGAAAUGUUGAUAGCGUCGAAUUGAAAACAAAAUGAUGGGGAAUAGCAUUCCUUGGGGUAAUAUUCACCCACUCCAUUUCCCCCCAAAUGUCCCCCAAAUAUUGCAGGUCAGGAUCAAUGCAACAUGACAGCCUGUCAAGAAUCUUGCCAUAAUGACUGCUGAGUUUAGCAAUGGUUGCACAAUUAUUUAUUAUUUCCAUUAUUCCUGUUGGGCUACUUUGGCUAAUAGUUGACUGCAAACCUAUUUUGAGACGUUUGGUGCAUGUUACAGAUCCUGAGUUGUACCUCUUGCCCUAUGCUCUUGGCGCAAUUUAUCACUUGGGGGCAUUUUGCAGAAAUUGUCAUGUGUUUUGCAUUUUGUCUUGCUGUUGUAUUUUUGAAUUUUUAUCAUUUAAACCACCUUUAGAGAUCUCUACUCAGAAAGGGAGCCUAUAAAUAUUUUUUUUAAAAAAAAUUGUCAAGGUGAUCUGAAACGGAAGAGAACUGAUGUAGCUGUUUUGCAAAUACAGUGGUACCUCUACUUACGUUCACCUCCGGUUACGUAUCCUUCGGGAUACGUGCGCAGCAAACCCGGAAGUAUUUUUCCGGGUUUCGCCAUGCGUGCAUGCUUAGAAGCACUCUACAUGCCGCAUGCACGCAAAGAAGUGCUAAACCGUGCUGUGCGCAUGCACAGAAGCUGCAACUCCGGAUAUGCACACCUUGGGAUCCGACCAGAGCUCCGGAACAGAUCCCGUGCGCAACCAGAGGUACCACUGUACUGUGGGUAUCUAGUAAUGAAAAAAGCAACCCUCUACACUUGCAGUAGCCAUUUCUGAAUCUAAUAUGGCCAUCAUGCUGGAAAUGUUAUGACUAGUCUCCAACAUUCACUUGGUCAUUGGGAACAAUUUUCCGGCUCAAAUGCAGCUGAAAUCUUGCCCCAAAUGUAAAUUUGCAACAAAUGCAAUUGAUUCCAAUAUGGCACCUAAAUGCACUACUUGCCAAAUUGACAACAUUAUUUUUCUGGCACAGGCUGACCACUUCUAAUUAUAAGAGACAUUUGUCAUUUGUGGCAACCAGUGUCCUAUGACAGCAAAAUCUAGGGGGUGCAUCCAGCACACAAUGCGAAUGUUCCAUCCUUGCAAGGAUGGCUGGCCUCAACUAGAGCCAGGGCUUUUUCGGCUGUGGCUCCAAUCUGGUGGAACGCUCUGUCACAAGAGACUAGAGCCCUGCAGGACUUGACAUCUUUCCGCAGGGCCUGCAAGACAGAGCUGUUCCACCAGGCCUUUGGCCAGGGCACAGCCUGACUCCCUCCUUCAGCAAUCUUCGCAGAGCUCUGGCCCAAAGGUUGUCAUUAAUCUGAUUGGAAUUAAUUUUAUAAUGAAAUGAUUUUAGAAUGUUUUAUCAUUUUACUGUUGUUAGCCGCUCUGAGCCCGGCUUUGGCUGGGGAGGGCGGGAUAUAAAUAAAAUUAUUAUUAUUAUUAUUAUUAUUAUUAUUAUUAUUAUUAUUUCUACUUGCUCAGUGUUAUACUGCUCCCUCCAUAUAUUUUUUUUAAAUCAAUUUUAGGGAUUGCCCCAACCCUCUGGAGGAGAUUGGGGAGAGCACAUAUGGGGAGAGGAGAUGGGCAUAAAUUCCAUUGUGCAAGCAGAAAUCCUUGCACUGAUGAUGCACAUUUGUUGAAUAUUUCACUAGAAAUUUUUAUUGGUCACUUUAUAUUAAUAUUGGGAGUGGGGAGUUGUUCCCAGCAUCAGUGUACAUGAUUCAUUUUCAGCCUUUUUUUUUUUUUAAAAAAAAAUUCAUAAUCCUUAGGCAAAAAAGCACUUAUAGGCACCAUGCCACAGUACAAGCUCAAUUAGCUCUCCUUGAACAGGACCAGACAUUUCUUCAAAUAAGAAGGGAAGUCCACUGACAAUGUUGGCCAGCUGGGGCCCUACUGGGCAGCCAGGUCACCUGAUCCUUGAUGAACUGAAAAGGGCUGCCAGACCCUUCUGCCAGCAAGCAGCCUGGGUGGCAAUCCAGAGAAUAAGAUGCCUUGGAAAGGCUGCCAGAGCCCCUGAUUUGAAGCCCCUGUUGCUUGACAAAUGUGUGAGCAAGACUGUAACUUUGAAACGUGAUUCAGAAAUUAGGAGAGGCAUUUCUUUUUUUCUGCUGCUGAUUGGAAUGGGCUUACGUCACUCCAUUUCAGUUGGCAUUGUUGAAUUGUAUUAGCACACAGUGGGCCAAUAUUAAUUUCCACGCAUCUAUAAAAGCAGCACAUUUUUGAACUAAUAUCUCAGCGAGGCUGUUUGCCCAGUUGCAGGUCAGGGCAAUGCUAAUCUACAAUGUAUUAAUAUAAUACAAGUCCAGUCAGUCCUUCUAUGCUACAGCAUUUCUAUUGCCAGCUCCUAGAAAAUGUAAUAGGUUUGCUGCACUUUUCGAGGUGCACUUUUGACCUUGGUCUCUGGAGGGAAUUCUCAGAGGCCAGUCAUCCAUGUACUGCAAGAAAUUAGUAUUUCUGCUCUGGGAUGAGCUGCUGUAGCUGGUAUAUGUCUGGGGAUUGUGUGUGUGGGAUGCAACUUAUUCCGAAAGCUAAUACAGCAAGGCAAGAUUGAUUUGCAUGGCAUCAUUUGAAGGACUUGGAAAGGAAGAAUAAUUGCAGUUUGCUGUCCGAAAGAGAUGAAGCAUGAAGAGAUGUAUGAUACAUUUUUCAUCAGAUAACUUUUCAGAAGAGCAGCUCCCAAACUUAUUAAUAUGAUUCACCAUUGCAAUUUAAUUUUUGCUGCUGCUGGUGGGUAUCCACCCCACAAGCUGGAAGAGAUCCUGUAAUUGACUAUAUGCAGUGCAUUGUUUGCAGAGGCUUGGAGGCCAAAAGUAGCCUUCCAGGGCUCUCUGUCUGAUCCUUUGAACUCUCCCCAGGCCGCACUUCCACCCCAUCCACACCCCCUCUACCCAAGCCUUUACUCUGAGUCCUCCUUGACUGUUUUUGCCUGGCUGAAAUGGGUUCUUGAACUCUGAUAAUGUCUCUUGCACACCUGGAUGGGGGACAGAAGGGUGUGUGAGAGUGUGUGGGGGAACAGUUAAUUGUUUGAUUGCACACUAGAAUGGAGAAUGCCUGUAUGUACAUAUUGCUGAAGGGUUCAACACUGGAAAAUUCCAUUGGAGUAUACUAAGCUAAAAGAGUGCUCUCUGAUCUUCUAGCUGAGCUGAUAAUUAAUUGUUUGUGUUCUCUGCUAGCUCUCACAUGUGUGUUUAACCUUAGAUCUCAUGAGGGUAUUCAACUGCAAAUUUGCCCUCUUGAAGGGAGUUGCCUGUUAGUCUUUCUCUGGACACCACAGAGACAACAAAGGAUGUGAUAAUGAUACCUGUCCAGGAACUGCAUAGCCUUAGGCUGGAUGCAAGCUAAUGUAAGCUAAGGAGGAGACAAGGCAUUGAUUUUUGCUCUCAUCAUAAUUAUGUUAUAUAUUUAAGAAGAACCGCCUAUGCUUGGAUAGGCAUAUGUUUUAUGGAUGUAUCGCUGAUGGUUUUGUACCUGUUUUGAAGAAGUCCUGGUAAGUAAAGCUUUGAAUCAUGAUUAUGAGUCUGGGCAAUUUUUAUUCCAAAAAGAGUCAUUUUUAUGCAUCCAAUAGUUUCAUGCUGCACGAUAUUAAUAUCUGCAGCAGAAACUAGCCUACUGUACAAAAGUCAAUAUUAUAUUUAUUGCUCCACUCUGGUCCCACUCACCACUGGAAUGGCCCCUGUAAAUUUGCCCAGAAGGGAGUGUGGUCCCACUGAGAGCUGAGCAUGCUCAGUAGUCACGAAAUGCUAAAUGGCUGUUGAGUAGGGGAAAUAAAAGUGUGAGAGAGAGGGGAUGGAAUGAUAUAUCAUGGGAAAGGAUGAGGCUGGCUGGCACAACAAACGGGGCAUUCAACAUACUGCAGAGAUUUGUAGCAGGAACCACUUGUCAUGGCUAAUAGUCAUUGAUGGAUCCAUCUUCCAUUAAUUUAUCCAAUCCCCUUUUAAAGCCAUCUGUGAGAGCAUUGCCUUCAGAGUACUUCUGUUUCUGCCUCUUUGCCUUUCUGGUAAAAUUUCAGCUGAAAUUUCAUAGCUUAUUCCAGAGUUGAAUCUCCUCCCCUCCCCCUUUCCUGAAAGCAGCAACAUACAAAAUUCACUGCUGACAUCAGCACCUGAAGAUCUAAUGAAUUCACUGGCCUGUGCUUUCAGCAAAUUUGGCUCAGCAUCCCUAGUGAGCAAAAUGUCACAUUACCUCUGCUGAGCAGGACAUUUCACAUAAAAUAUUAGCAAAAACAAUUAACUUUAAGCCAUUAAUCCCGUGGAUGCUACUUUGCACCACAUAAGGAUUUAAGCCAAUUCCCUGUAAAUGUCUUUGGCUUAAUAGAUUAUAUUAUGAAAUGUAAAAUUGAGAGAUACUAAAUUAGCUGAAAUAUUAUUUCUAUAUCAAUUUUAGUUGAACAAAUAAGAGCCAGCGAGUAAUAGGGCAAAAGAUUAAUGUUAUAUCAAUAUACACAGGUACAAUUUGCAUAUUUUAUUUUGCAUUUCAUUAUCAUUCAUUUCCACAAAAUUAUUUGGGAAGGCAGGAUAUAAUUUAGAACUUUGCAUAGAAAGCAUGGAGUGAAAAUAAAGGACCAGCAGAAAAAGCUCCUUUCUCCCAUUGCUACAUGCUGCAAAUGAGUAAUGGCGGCAUACUUUCACAUGCUGUAACAUGACCAUGACAUCUUAGGUGGAGGUCAGGCUUAGGUGAAUAAAGGAAUUGUGAGGGAGUUGGGAAAACUGGACUAACUCAGACUAACUUGGGGAAACCGGUAGGAGACAGAUGCAGCCAGCAGAUGAAUAGGUUGGGUUGGAGGAUUUCUUUCUUUUGUUAUAUUUUUUUUUAUCUUGACUGAUCCAAGGAGGCUAACACUAUUGCAGUCUUUAAAAAUAAUUACACAACAAACUGCAACAACUAAUUUUGAGGAGGCAACGAGCAAAAACAGCAAAAGCAAUAAAACCCAGCAGAUAUUCAAAACAAUAAUAGAAGAGCCAAUAAAAAAAACAACCGUAUUCUUUCAGCCCAAAUACUUCUCAAAAUAGCCAGAAUUUAGCCUGUUGCUUGAAGCUGCACAGUAUUCUUUGCUCUGUCAGGUUUCCCUGGAGAAGGCAUUCCAUAAUGUUGGUUCCAUAACAAGAAAGGCCUUGCUUCUAGUGGACCUUCGCUGAUCAUGGUAUCUCCCCUGCUGGACCUCACUCGGUGGAGGUAUUAGGACAGUGUGGCCUCUUAUACAUCACCCCACAACACAAAAAGACCAAAAAAACCCAACCCUACAAAUUUGCAUAGAGUUUGCAUAUGCUAAUUUAUGGGCCGGAUUCAACUAACUGGACCUUCUGGUGAGCCUACACAAGAACUUCCACUUAAUCAAGGGGGCUUUCACCCUCUCCUCCCCCCACAUGCUCACAUGUGCCUCCUGCAAUUCAGGUGGAGGGUUGGGAGAACCCCCAAAACAGUAUGGGCGGUGUGCUUAAAAGCAUUCAGUUGGGGAAGCAGAAAUUCUUGAGCUGACAGAUCAUUUGUUACAGUGUGAGGAUGAAUUCCUCUGUAUAUGUUGAGUCGCAAAUUUAGACAUCAAAAUAGUCUAAACAGAAAUACAAUGCAAGAACUACACCAGGGAAAUCUAUGACUAGGGACCUCUGUGCUUAGUCUGCUUUCGAGAUGCCAAGUGUUUAUGGGCACCCUCAAGAUUCAUUCUCUCCCUUCUUACCUUAAAAGAACACCAGGACCAGAUAACACAUCAAAUGGAAGACACUUUCAGAGGACUGUCCUUUGUAAAGCAGGGCUUGUGACCAUCCUACACUCACAGCCAGGUGAGCAGCAGCAGGGAGUACGGAAGAAAGAAAACACAGUAAAACAGGGAUGAGAAAUGAAUGUGUUGGAAAGCAAAAUGGUCAAGACAGAAUAAAGCUGCUGACUCCUUUAUAUGGACUGAAGGAUGUCAAGGGAUGUUCCACUGCCUGUUACAACCCCAUUAGCAGUAUUCCCAACUAGAGCCAGCUGUGCAUGUAGAUAACAAGCAUUAGGAAGUGGGGGUUGGCUGAAUUCGUUCAGCUUAGUGGGUCACAGGUUGUGCAGGCUCCUCUUGGUGGAAUACUACAAAUCCUUUAACAGCACAUAACUCCAGUAUUCAAAAGCGUGCAGUGGCAGCCCAUACGCUAGCAGGCUAGCUUCAAGAUUAUUGCAUUACUUUGCAAGACCCUUAACAACUCAGGUUGAGGAUACCUCAGGGACUGUCUGAUUCCUUAUAUUCAUGCCCCAUCUUAGGGGUCUUUGGGGCAGUUUGUGUUGGCUCAGAUGCACAGAUCUCAUCCACCAGGAGCCAGGUGUUCAGUUUUCUGGGCCCCAUUUUAUAGAGUUCCCUGCCAGCUGAGUCCUGACUGGUACACACACACACACACACACACACACACACACACAGUGCUUUUUUCUGGGGGUACGCAGGGGUAUGCAUACCCAUAAACAUUUUGUGACUCUAAUGGGUGAAGAAACUAAAAGUUUUAAAAUUUUUACUUUCUUCUCUAGCACAGUGAAUCGUCAGUUCCGUUGCUACCCCCGAUGGUGGCCUUAUUUCCUGUCAGGGUGUUUCCUGAUUCUCAGGCAGAAGCGAGCGUUUAAUGUGUGAAGCAGUGUGGAAUGUGGAUGUGUGGUGUUUGUAAAUUCAUGAUUUUUGAAAGGAUGACAUCUGAGGUAACGCAUGUUCUUUGUACUGUUCUGUUGUCCAUUUACUGUAUUUAUUUUUCCAGAUUUGAACUAUAAAAUGGUGGUUUUCUUGAGUCAAAAUGAGAGUACCCUUAAGCAUUUUUUUAAGGAAACAAAAGCACUGUAUAUAUUCUAGCAAGCAUUUGCACUGAAUUCUGAUUUUUCCAAUUUUAACUCCAUUUUUAUUUCCACUAUAUUGAGCUUCUUGUACACUGCUGAGAGACACUUGUAAUUAAGUGGUAUAUGUUAAUGUAGUCUAAAUAUAUAAUGGGGUUGAAACAGAGGAAGCAGAACUUGGUGAAAGAAAAUGGCAGCAUCUCACAAUCUACAGCAAAGGGGGCCUGGUGGAAAGGGAAAGAACACAGAGACGUUAGGAGGCUCCUUGAGGCAGCCUGGGCACCAUUUAGUCUGUCUCGGUUGUACCAUUUCUCAAGACCAAAUAAUUCCUGUCUCCAAAGAUCCCAGUAAGAGGUCUAUUGUGACUACUAAAUUCUCUCUCAAAAAAAAAUUUUUUUAAGAAAAAAAGGAAAUUAUCCCUCCCAAACCAAUUUCCCUGCUGUGAAUGAAACCAUUUUUCUUAAUAUAGCAAGCAAUUAAAAAGCUUUGCAUAGCACCAAAGUAAAUGCACUUUACAGAGAGAGAAUGCAAAUGCCUCAAGUUGCAGUGGUUUUCCUUUGCCAGCUCUCAGCAAGCGGCCAUUUAGCUUUAAUUGUUCCUAACAGUGUGGGCCAAUUAAGAAUGACAUCAGCAGAGCAAGGAUUAUUUGUUAAUCUGUAAAAUGUAUAUACCAGACAGUUCCUCUUUUGGCCAUGGUUCUCCCCGCACAGCGCAUGGGAGAGGGUGGAGAAGGGAAGGGAAUUUAGCCAGCUGGAACUCUCCAAGAAAUCCUUGGAUAUUAGCAAGCAAUUGGUGAUAAGCAAGAUAAAUGGACAAAGGUAAUGUAACAGAACCAAAUUUAGAAAGCAUGUGCUUGUUUCUGGAAGGAUGGGUAUGGCUGGACAUGCAGCCAAAAUGAUAAGCAGGAUAUAAACCUCUCUGUCAAGCAUCCAGCAACUGCCUGGCAUAAAUUUAUAAAAUUAUGCAUGAUGCAGAAAGCAGAUAGAGAAAUUCUUUUCUCCCACUCUCAUAACACCAGAACUGGUAAACAUCCAAUGACCUGGAUGUUGGAAGUUUCUCGGUAGUGGCGCCCUCCCUGUGGAACGCCCUCCCACCAGAUGUCAAAGAGAACAACAACUACCAGACUUUUAGAAGACAUCUGAAGGCAGCCCUGUUUAGGGAAGCUUUUAAUGUUCGAUGUAUUACGGUAUUUUAAUAUGUUGUUGGAAGCUGCCUAGAGUGGCUGGGGAAGCCCAGCCAGAUGGGCGGGGUAUAAAUAAUAAAUUAUUAUUAUUAUAUUAUUAUUCAGAACAAAUAAAAGAAAGUACUUCUUCACACAGCACAUAGGAAAACUGGAACUCCCUCCCACAGAAGGCAGCCAUGAAUUUGAGUGGCUUUAAAAGAGGAUUAGAAGAAUUCAUGGAGGACAAGGCUAAAAUGGCGCUGUCAGGCAGGUGUCUGGAUCCAGCCAGCAAUAACUCACAAGGUAUCAGUGAACUAUUCAAAGAAACAAAGCAGCUCAGGCCUAGCAAGCACAGCAACUAUUCCCAGCAGAUUGUGCCCCGAUGAGGCAGUUGCAAGGACUGAAGGCCCCUGCCAUCCCACUGCUCUCUAAGUCCCCCCCCCUUGAUCCGUUCCAAGCAACCUGGGACUUCUUUGCCCUGUCUGUCUCUGCUCCGCUUCCAAAAAUGCAUUUGUACAUCCAUUUCUUAAUUUGUUUACCAUUAAUUUGUAUUGCAGUAAUGCUGCUUUUGCAACCCACCUUAGAUCAGACCUUGACCUAGUCUUUGGUCCCAAUCCAAUCCUGUAGUCACCUUUGACUGGACUUAACUGUCCAGGGGUCCUUUACCUUUUUACCUUUUUUACAUUACAGUAUAGGCCCUAUAUUAUAGGGACUCGGAUAUUGAAUUCAUCAUGGUUUAUCUGCAUACACAAGCUACCAUUAUGUGUUGCAUUCACUGCAUGGUCAAUAUAGAGGUGGAUAGUGGUCUUAGCUUGACUGAGUGGCCUUCAUUUACCUAGAAGGAAGUCUCACUGAUUUCAAGGGUAAUUACUCUGAAGUAAGGAUGCUUAGGAUAGUGGCUGUAAGAUAGAUAUACAGUGGUACCUCGGUUUACGAACUUAAUCUGUUCCGGAAGUCCGUUCUUAAACUGAAACCAUUCUUAAACCAAGGUGCGCUUUCCCUAAUGAGGCCUCCUGCCACCAGUGCCCUUCCACUGUUCGGAUUCCGUUCUUAGACUGAAGUAAAGUUUGUAAACCGGGACACUACUUCCGGUUUUGCGGAGUUUGUAAACUGAAUCGUUUGUAAAUAGGGCUGUUCUUAAACUGAGGUAUAGACAUAGGGUGGAAUUCAACACUGCACUAAUACAAUCUUCCCAUCAGUGCAAGAAUUUAUGUUUGCCAGAUACAAUAACCUCUCCUCUCCUCUCCUGCAUGUUGUUCUGGACCCACUACAAAUAUAUUGCCUCAGGUGCCACCACAAAAUGGCUGCCAUGGGCAGCAAAAAAAGAAGUGAUGUUACUCUGUGCCGGUGAGUGCUUUCACCCCACAAAAAGGUUUGUGUGUGUGUAGUAUUUCAGACACCUGUCACUCUAGAUGGUUUGUUUAUAAUGGGCACAAUACAGCACAAGUAAAAAUACAGAAAAGUUGUUUCAAUCUGCAGAGCAGAAGUGCAUGGAGGUGGAAUGUGAAUACGAUGUUCUUUCUGUAUAUUUUAGGCUGCUUGCAAUCCACGACAAGAAAAGAAGAGCUUCUCUUGUUCCUCGUUCCUGACUGGAGCUGCAUUAAGAAGUGCGCUGGGAUUCCCAGACUGCUAUUAACAACUGCAGGGUUCUAUCAUUUUUGGAAUCCCUUUAACAGACGACUCCAUCAGCAUCCCUCUUUUUCUCUUUUCUCUGUUGCUUUUCUGUGCUGAUAUGAAGAGUGAUAUGUCUGCUGGUGGUGAUGAAAAGCUACAUCACUGCCGGCUUCCCUCAAGUGGAGGCCUGCCAGUGCCAAUCAUUGUUACAGCAACUAACUCAUCUCAGCUGUCCAUGAAAUCCGAAAUCUUCCUUGGGGUUUUCUGCCAUGCUACAGACAAUCAAUCCAAAGAUGUUGAGAUCUAGAAGUUUAAAGCAGAUGCGGCUACAAUUCUUGACCCGGCAAGUGGCUCUGGGAUUUAACCACAGUCUUCGAGACCACAACCAGCCCAGCUGUGAGGAUCGCAGUGCCAGUAAUAAUAGAUCACAUGGCUUCUGCAAGGAACGAAAUUAAGGGUAGGUUGUGACCAAAGGAUGGGAAACAACACUGAAAAAGCCUUUGAGAGACAUUAUGUCAGAAUGAUUGUAAAUCAUUGCAAGGCUGGGAACUUAUCAACGGUAUGUACUUUAUUUAUUCUUACUGUUCUUGUGGUUGAGGAUGGUCUCGGUUAACAUUUCUGAAAAUGUAGUCAUAGUCAGCUUCCCUGUAUUCUUUACAUAUAUUAUUAUACUAGAUAGAUAGAUGGUAAAUUUCGGGGGGAAAUUCUAUUCAAAUCCAAUGGGUUAAACAAAUUUUAAAUAUACCAUAUCACUCAUACAACCCACAGAUUAAUCAACAACAAAUCAUAACUGAUACUUCUAGCAUUUUUGAGUCAUAACAUUCAGUUAGAUUUCUGUCCAAUUUUGCUGCACAACUUCCAGUAGUUUUCUUAUCUUCUGAUAUUUAUUCUUGUUUUUUGCUUCUACUAUUGAAGCAAUUUAAUUAUCGCACCAUUCUAACAAGCCUUUUUUUUUUUGCAACGCAUAUAUCCCAGAUUGUCUCAGAAUAUGAAAUCUUAUGCAUUAGUAUUCUAUGCCAAAUAUAACAUUUCCAUUCUUCUAAGGAUGACAGUUCUUGUCCCCCUUCUCCCACUUUUAACUACUAACAUACAGGCUGAUUGAAAACCAUUGUGGUGUUUUUAGAUAAUACUUGGGCCACAGUGCCUGUG
rnacentral:lncRNA from 1 species